rnacentral:misc_RNA from 1 species
UUUUUAAAUAUAUGAGAUCGAUCUUUGAAAACUGAAUUAUUAUCAACAAUCUUUCUAAUAGUUAGAUAUGUAAAAAUAUCUAAUGAAUAGAAUUAUAUUAAUUUAAUUAAUAUAGUUAACAAUCAUAUUAAAGAUACAACUUUAAGGAUUUACAAUAAGUUAUUAAGAGCUUAUGGUGAAUGCCUUGGGACAAACAGGCGAUGAAGGACGUGCAAAUCUGCGAUAAGCAACGGGAAGCUGAUAAGAAGCUGUGAUCCGUUGAUUUCCGAAUGAGUAAACUCAAUAUAAGUAAUUUUAUAUUAUUACAUUAUGAAUUCAUAGUAAUGUAAGGCAAUACCUCGUGAAGUGAAACAUCUCAGUAGCGAGAGGAAAAGAAAACGAAUGUGAUUCCGGUAGUAGCGGCGAGCGAAUCCGGAACAGGCCAAACCGAAUCUUGAUUCGGGGUUGUAGGACUGCAAUGUGGACUAAUUGUCGAUAGUGGAACGAGUUGGGAAGCUCGAUCAUAGAGGGUGAUAAUCCCGUACACGAAAUCAACAAUUUACCUAGCAGUAUCCUGAGUAGGGCGGGACACGUGAAAUCCUGUCUGAAUCUACCCAGACCAUUGGGUAAGCCUAAAUACUAGUUUGUCACCGAUAGCGCAUAGUACCGUG